AGUUGAGUUUAUCAAGGUUUUGAGUUAGCUCACGUUAUUGAACAUAGUGAGGGAGCUUAAUUAGAACAAUAGCCCACUUAGAGUGCAUGAGCUACCCGUGUAUAAUUCUCAGAGAAACACGUUUGUAUUGAGGAAGUUUAAUUAGAACAUCAGCUACCUGAGUGCAUGUUGUAGAUGAAGUGUAUAGCUGGGAAGGAGACACGCGUCUAGGCUUCUGAACACCCACCGACUCACUCCCACCUAUUUCACCUUCCUCUCUUCUAGUCUGUCCCAAAAACCAUGCAGAGAAAGAAAACUCCAAAUUUCAUAACCAAAGUUUCCUUCACCGAAUCAAUUACCCUCUCCUUUAUUUCAUUAAAACCUUCACCAGUCUCACUCUUCUUCCUGUGUAAUUUUCAUCACCCACCAUAGAAACCAGCCAUGAUGGUUAUUACCUGAAGGGAAAUAUGGGUGUCUGACCCAUCAUUUGAGAUUGAUCGUCUUAGGCUUGGAUUCUGGAUCGAUUAAGAUUGGACGAAGGAAGGGAGAAUUGGAGAAGUGGGUUCUAGCGUUCAUUGCUGCAAUUGGAAGUUAGAGGCGUUGGGUGUGGGCAUCAGCGAACCUAAUCAUUAAAUUGGUCAAGAAAGGACUCCAGUUACCCGAGGAACAGAAGGUUCGCAACUCUCGGAGUACGUGAGAGAAAGCAUCGGAAUUCAGGUAGGGAUUCAGGACUCUCCUCGGUUGGUGAUUUUCUUUUAUAUUUUAUUAAUGUGAUGCAUGAUAAGUGGUAUGGGUUGGUUAUGUAAAAUGCAAUGCAUACUAACCAAUCCGUGAGAAAAUGUGUGAUGGCUUGAGAGCGAAGGGUGGCUCUGACUUCCUUGGGUUCGAUCCCCUUAACCUCCGGAGGGUUAGUUACGCCGGUCGUCCGGGUAUUCCGAUUGUAAUGACGGGCCCGGUACGUGUGUGUAGCUAGGUGGUGGACGCUCUCGCUACGCUUACCUGGUGAUAAAUUAAUUUGAGGUAAAGUCGUGUAGUGGGUGUAUGGGACCGGCCAUCAGGUAAUACUUGGAUUUGGCGCCGUAUUUAUUUAAGCAUCAUGCAUCGGUUUUCAAGUUGAAAAACAUUAAAGUUUGUCGUUCUUUAAAAUAUUUGGUUUAAGUAUGUUUCAUACUGGAGCGCUCCCAAUACUGGUCUAUUGAUUUUCAAACCUAGUCGAGUUAGAGUUCCUGUUGAGCAGCGAGGACGAAAGCUCACCCCUACAACAGUAUGGAUGCAGGUACUGUGCACUGGUGACGGGACAGUAGCGGACGGAGCUGGGUGUGCGGAACAAGUUCGGUAAAUCUUUGUUUGGUUUCCAAUCUGAUUUCUACUUCGCGAUCUUCGUGUUUCAGGACUUGUUGAAGUCUAGUCUCGUGUCAAAAUGAGUUGAAUUCUUUUCAUAGGGAUUCGUACCUCAUGCUAGCUUUUAUCCAAGUUCUGGACGGAUGAGAUAGGGUUUAACAAAUUCAAGUUUUUCACCUCAAAAGUAUUUGUAGCUUCCGCUGUGUUUCUACAAAAAGUUUUUCAAAUAAAAUGCCUAGCGGUCUUUAGAAUGUAAAUCGAGCGUUCGGUUUAUGUUUUAGAGAUUCGCGGCACUGUGACGUUUUUAAGCUGGUGAGGUGCAGUUUGGGGCGUUACAAUAAUUAUACAUGCAUGCAGCUAACUAACCGUUGUUGAAGACAAAUUUUAGUUCAUAUAAAUUAGUUUCUUUUUCAUUCAAAAAAAAAAAAGUUUCUUUUAAGUGCAUGUAUUUUUUAAUUUAUUUAUUUUGUAUCAUGUUAAUGAAGUUUAUGAAAUAUUUUAUUUUCAAGUAGAAUUAAAGUAAAACUUUUAUUCAUUACAAUUGAAACCAAACAAGCGACACAAUAAAAGUUAAAGCAAAUAAAAACAAGUCACACAUUAAUAAAUAAAUAAAAAGACCCGAGCACUAUGACUGUAUGACAUGACAAUGAAUUGUCAAUUAUUAUUAGGAUGACAAUGUAAUUGUCAUACCCCUAACCUUGUCCUCCUCGUUCUCUUCUUGACCAAACAUGUUUG